UGGGCAACCUGCCCUCAGCUCUGGGAUAACUCCGGGAAACCGGGGCUAAUACCGGAUACGACCUUCCCUCGCAUGGGGGUUGGUGGAAAGUUCUUCGGCUGAGGAUGGGCCCGCGGCCUAUCAGCUUGUUGGUGGGGUGAUGGCCUACCAAGGCGACGACGGGUAGCCGGCCUGAGAGGGUGACCGGCCACACUGGGACUGAGACACGGCCCAGACUCCUACGGGAGGCA
rnacentral:rRNA from 1 species